CCCAUACUCCCUCCGUUCGAAAUUACUUGUCAUAAAAGUGGAUGUAUCUACAAUUAAAAUACAUCUAGAUACAUUCAUUUUUUGAACGAGUAAUUCCGAACGGAGGGAGUAUAUG
rnacentral:pre_miRNA from 1 species